rnacentral:rRNA from 1 species
UACGGAGGGUGCAAGCGUUGUCCGGAUUUAUUGGGUCUAAAGGGUGCGUAGGCGGCCCUGUAAGUCAGUGGUGAAAUACUGCAGCUUAACUGUAGCAUUGCCAUUGAUACUGUAGGGCUUGAGUACAGAUGAGGUAGGCGGAAUUGAUGGUGUAGCGGUGAAAUGCAUAGAUACCAUCAAGAACACCGAUUGCGAAGGCAGCUUACUAAGCUGUAACUGACGCUGAGGCACGAAAGCGUGGGGAUCGAACAGG